rnacentral:rRNA from 1 species
UGAGGUGAUGAUUACGUCAUGGAACCACCUGAUCCCAUCCCGAACUCAGAAGUGAAACAUGUCAGUGCCGAUGAUACUGCGGUCAGUGGCCGUGGAAAAGUAGGUCGUCGCCUCAU